AGUUCUAUAGCUCAGUUGGUUAGAGCGCACCCCUGAUAAGGGUGAGGUCGCAGGUUCAAAUCCCGCUAGGACUA
rnacentral:tRNA from 1 species